rnacentral:rRNA from 1 species
GUCCUUUUGAGUAUAAUUUAAGGUCGGGCCUGCCCAAUGAUUUAUUAAAUGGCCGCGGUAUAUUGACCGUGCAAAGGUAGCAUAAUCAUUAGUUUUUUAAUUGAAAGCUUGCAUGAAGGGUUUAAUGAGAAAAAUACUGUCUCUAUUUAAAUUAAUUAGAAUUUUAUAUUUAAGUUAAAAAGCUUAAGUAAUUGUUGAAGACGAGAAGACCCUAUAGAGUUUAAUAUUUUAUUUAGUAAGAUUGUUAUUAGGAAUUUAAAAUUUUUAUUAUUUAAGAGUAUUUAAUUGGGGUGAUUAAAAAAUUAAUUAAACUUUUUUUUUUACUUACAUUGAUUAAUGAAUUAUUGAUCCUUUAUUUGAGAUUAAAAGAUACAAUUACCUUAGGGAUAACAGCGUAAUUUUUUUUAGAGUUCUUAUCGAAAAAAAAGAUUGCGACCUCGAUGUUGGAUUAAAAUAAAUUAUUGGUGUAGAAGCUAAUAAAUUAGGUCUGUUCGACCUUUAAAUUUUUACAUGAUCUGAGUUUAAACCGGUGUAAG